UCUGGAUGUCAGAAAUCAUUACUAGAUAGUAUCUCGAUUAGUGCAAGAAUUAAUUCCUGUGCUACCGACUUAGUGUUUGAACCUAUGGAGUCACACACACAAGUCAGACAUUGUAGAAAAGUAUUGGCCUAUGUUUAUAUGUCCAAUUUGGAAGUACUUGACUUGAUUGAAUAUAUAACCUAACUUGAUUGAGAAUUAAGUUAUGGAUCAAAUAAAAUUAAAGAAUUGACUAUGUCUAGCUAGCACUACAUAUGAGGUUCAGGUUCGGUCUCAAGGAUGAACAGUUUUUGAUUUAUGAUCCAUAGAGUAUAUGAGAGAUUAUAUUUAAUUAUUAAAU
rnacentral:lncRNA from 1 species